rnacentral:rRNA from 1 species
CAGUCGCCACGGGAAUACGUAGGGUGCAAGCGUUAAUCGGAAUUACUGGGCGUAAAGCGUGCGCAGGCGGUUUUGUAAGACAGAGGUGAAAUCCCCGGGCUCAACCUGGGAACUGCCUUUGUGACUGCAAGGCUGGAGUGCGGCAGAGGGGGAUGGAAUUCCGCGUGUAGCAGUGAAAUGCGUAGAUAUGCGGAGGAACACCGAUGGCGAAGGCAAUCCCCUGGGCCUGCACUGACGCUCAUGCACGAAAGCGUGGGGAGCAAACAGGAUUAGAUACCCCUGUAGUCCCUGUCUCUUAUAC